UACACUCCUACGGGAGGCAGCAGUGGGGAAUUUUGGACAAUGGGGGCAACCCUGAUCCAGCAAUGCCGCGUGAGUGAAGAAGGCCUUCGGGUUGUAAAGCUCUUUUGUCAGGGAAGAAACGGUAGUAGCGAAUAACUAUUACUAAUGACGGUACCUGAAGAAUAAGCACCGGCUAACUACGUGCCAGCAGCCGCGGUAAUACGUAGGGUGCAAGCGUUAAUCGGAAUUACUGGGCGUAAAGCGUGCGCAGGCGGUUGUGUAAGUCAGAUGUGAAAUCCCCGGGCUCAACCUGGGAAUUGCAUUUGAGACUGCACGGCUAGAGUGUGUCAGAGGGGGGUAGAAUUCCACGUGUAGCAGUGAAAUGCGUAGAUAUGUGGAGGAAUACCGAUGGCGAAGGCAGCCCCCUGGGAUAACACUGACGCUCAUGCACGAAAGCGUGGGGAGCAAACAGGAUUAGAAACCCUGGUAGUCC
rnacentral:rRNA from 1 species